rnacentral:rRNA from 1 species
ACUCGGGUGGCGAACGGGUGAGUAACACGUGGGUGAUCUGCCCUGCACUUCGGGAUAAGCUUGGGAAACUGGGUCUAAUACCGGAUAGGAGCCAUCUUUAGUGUGGUGGUUGGAAAGUUUUUUCGGUGUAGGAUGAGCUCGCGGCCUAUCAGCUUGUUGGUGGGGUAAUGGCCUACCAAGGCGGCGACGGGUAGCCGGCCUGAGAGGGUGUACGGCCACAUUGGGACUGAGAUACGGCCCAG